UUAAGUUCAGCGGGUAGUCCUACCUGAUUUGAGGUCACAUUAAUGAUGAAUUGUCCGAGGACUGUUAGAAAGCUGAACUGCCCCCUUACAUUCAAUAGCGUAGAUAGUUAUCACACCAAUGAACAGGGUUGUUCUGCUAAUGCAUUUCAGAGGAGCUGAACCCUUUACAAGGCCAGCAAACCCCCACAUCCAAACCACUC
rnacentral:misc_RNA from 1 species